AUUACUGCAUCGUCUCGAAUCGCUGGUUGAUUCUCCGGUGUCCAGCCUUCUUCCUUCAGCCGUUCGUUUGCAUUUGGAGACGAGCCAUUAUUCACUGAGAGCAGUCGGACUUUUUUCGCCGCGUCGCCAUGAGAGCUAAGUGGAAGAAGAAGAGAAUGAGGAGGUUGAAGAGAAAGCGCCGAAAGAUGAGGCAGAGAUCGAAGUAGUGGCCAUUGUCUGAGGGAUGGUUUCGACCUAGGGUUUUGGUUACUGUUUAGAUUUCUUUACGUUAUAUUUAGUUUUUUAUUUUAUUGUUUGACCGUUUUGAACUGUUCUUAAUUGCUAUGUGAUCGAUACAUUUAGUUGUUUUAAUCGAGAACUGGAUUUCCAGCUUUAUAGUUUCUAUCAAUCGAGUUUUAUAA